AGUGCCGUGCGUUGCCUUGAGGCUUCCGCCGCUCCCGAUGGCGCCUGGGCUGCGGCCGUGGCUCCUAGCCUUCGCCUUGGCCUCAGGCUCAGGUCCGGCAGGGGUGUGGGCGCAGCCGAGGUUGGUGGAGGCUGGUGGAGGGCUGCGAGUGCCCGGGAAUUCGGUCACCCUGCAGUGCCGCGGGCACGGCUUCGACAGGUUUGAGAUUCGUGCAGUUCGAUGGUACCGUCAGACAGCCAGUGGCAGUCUCCAGUGGUUGUCCGUUAUAAGCUCCGAUUCCUCAAUUACUCGAUUCGGAAAGUCCGUGGAGGGUCGAGCUGCGGUGUCCCGGAAUAAUGCCCUCGCCGAAUCAUCUCUUUCCCUGCGGGCCCUGCACCCCCAGGACUCUGGCCGCUACUUCUGUGCUGUUGCACAGAGGCAGGAAACCAGCUGA